rnacentral:lncRNA from 1 species
GCUAUGAACACACAUUAUGACUGUGAGAGGCGGCCGCAACUUAAAACAGCAUGGACCGAUUCAAACCAGGAAGAAGGUUUUUAUUAUGUCCGAAUUAUGGAAAAGUAAGUGUGUUAGGGUUUCAUUUUUUUUAUAUAUCUCUUCCAUUCUAGUUACUUGCACAUAAAAUUGAAAUCUUCUUUAUUCACAGAGGAAUGUUUGUCAAUUUUUUGCUUGGUAUGAUCCUCCAAUGUGUGACAGAUCAAGACAAAUAAUCCCCGGAUUACUUCGAAAGAUUAACGGAAUGGAGCAAGAGAUGGAGAAAAUGUGUGCAAUAGACAAAAUGCGAAGAAUAAAAUUUAUUACUGCACUUGUUUGUUCUUGGGUAUUGAUUUUAAUCAUGUUAUUGUAGAUGUAGUAAAUAUUGUAAUUUGGGUUAACUUCUAGAAUCUGUAAGGAUUGUUUUCUUUGUGUUGUUAGAAGCGGUGAUAUUAGCAUUAACAUCAAUUCUCCGCUCGCAUAAGGUUGUUUUGUCUUUGUAACAAAUGUCUCCUUUCCUAUAAGGUUGUUAUUAAUGAGUAAAAGCUUAAUGUUGAUGAACUUUGUGAAAUUUUUUGGAGCUUAUUGUCGGGCUUCUGGUGUUGUUUGUG